rnacentral:rRNA from 1 species
CGGCUAACUACGUGCCAGCAGCCGCGGUAAUACGUAGGUGGCAAGCGUUAUCCGGAAUUAUUGGGCGUAAAGCGCGCGCAGGUGGUUUGUUAAGUCUGAUGUGAAAGCCCACGGCUCAACCGUGGAGGGUCAUUGGAAACUGGGAGACUUGAGUGCAGAAGAGGAAAGUGGAAUUCCAUGUGUAGCGGUGAAAUGCGUAGAGAUAUGGAGGAACACCAGUGGCGAAGGCGACUUUCUGGUCCGUAACUGACACUGAGGCGCGAAAGCGUGGGGAGCAAACAGGAUUAGAUACCCUGGUAGUCCACGCCGUAAACG